rnacentral:rRNA from 1 species
UACGGAGGGUGCAAGCGUUAUCCGGAUUCACUGGGUUUAAAGGGUGCGUAGGUGGGCUAGUAAGUCAGUGGUGAAAUCUCCGGGCUUAACCCGGAAACUGCCAUUGAUACUAUUAGUCUUGAAUGUCGUGGAGGUAAGCGGAAUAUGUCAUGUAGCGGUGAAAUGCUUAGAUAUGACAUAGAACACCAAUUGCGAAGGCAGCUCACUACGGAUAUAUUGACACUGAGGCACGAAAGCGUGGGGAUCAAACAGG